AUUGAACGCUGGCGGCAUGCCUUACACAUGCAAGUCGAGCGGCAGCGCGGGGGCAACCCUGGCGGCGAGCGGCGAACGGGUGAGUAAUGCAUCGGAACGUGUCCUCUUGUGGGGGAUAACCAGUCGAAAGACUGGCUAAUACCGCAUGAGCUCGAAAGAGGAAAGCAGGGGACCGCAAGGCCUUGCGCGAGAGGAGCGGCCGAUGCCGGAUUAGCUAGUUGGCGGGGUAAUGGCCCACCAAGGCGACGAUCCGUAACUGGUCUGAGAGAACGACCAGCCACACUGGGACUGAGACACGGCCCAGACUCCUACGGGAGGCAGCAGUGGGGAAUUUUGGACAAUGGGGGCAACCCUGAUCCAGCCAUGCCGCGUGUGUGAAGAAGGCCUUCGGGUUGUAAAGCACUUUCGGACGGAACGAAAUCGCGCGGGUGAAUAUCCCGCGUGGAUGACGGUACCGUAAGAAGAAGCACCGGCUAACUACGUGCCAGCAGCCGCGGUAAUACGUAGGGUGCGAGCGUUAAUCGGAAUUACUGGGCGUAAAAGCGCGCGUAGGCGGUUGUUAAGUCAGCUGUUGAAGCCCCG
rnacentral:rRNA from 1 species